rnacentral:rRNA from 1 species
UAUUGGCCAAUGGGCGAAAGCCUGAUCCAGCAAUGCCGCGUGAAUGAUGAAGGCCUCCCCCCUUGUAAAGUUCUUUUAGUAGGGAAGAUAAUGACGGUACCUACAGAAAAAGCCCCGGCUAACUCCGUGCCAGCAGCCGCGGUAAGACGGAGGGGGCUAGCGUUGUUCGGAAUUACUGGGCGUAAAGAGCGCGUAGGCGGUUUGGUAAGUUGGAAGUGAAAGCCCGAGGCUUAACCUCGGAAUUGCUUUCAAAACUGCCAAUCUAGAGUGUAGUAGGGGAUGAUGGAAUUCCUAGUGUAGAGGUGAAAUUCUUAGAUAUUAGGAGGAACACCGAUGGCGAAGGCAGUCACCUGGGCUACAACUGACGCUAAUGCGCGAAA